AUCAGGUAGGGACACCCGCUGAACUUAAGCAUAUCAAUAAGCGGAGGAAAAGAAAAUAACAAUGAUUCCCCUAGUAACUGCGAGUGAAGAGGGACAAGCUCAAAUUUUAAAUCUGUUAGGUAUCACCUGGCCGAGUUGUAAUUUGAAGAAGCGUUUUCUGCGUCCUUGGUCAGCCCAAGUCCUAUUGAAUGAGGCAUCAUGGAGGGUGAUAAUCCCGUCCGGUUGAUCAAUGCGUUUUACGAUACGCUCUCAAAGAGUCAAGUUGUUUGGGAUUGCAGCUUAAAAUGGGAGGUAAAUUUCUCCUAAGGCUAAAUAUUGGCGAGAGACCGAUAGCGAACAAGUACCGUGAGGGAAAGAUGAAAAGAACUUUGAAAAGAGAGUAAAAUAGUGCGUGAAAUUGUUGAAAGGGAAACGAUUGAAGUCAGUCGUACCGACGGACAAUCAGCCUUUUGAGUGCGAAUCUGUGGCUCAUGAGGAGGAAACCCUCAUGUUUUGCAUAUUUGUGCUCUUUGGGUGUAUUUGUUCGUAUGGUGGGUUAACAUCAAUUUUGGUCGUCAUAAAAUGACGGGAGGAAAGUAGCUUUGGUCUCGUAUUGAAGUGUUAUAGCCUCUGGUAGAUGUGACGACCGGGAUUGAGGAUUGCAACGGAUACCCUUUUGGGCUACUCGCCUGAUCUCUGAUCGUUACUCUGGUGCCGAAAGCUUGCUUAUGUCAUCAAAGUUGAUGGUCAAAAGGUUAGAACGGGUUAAAUUCGUUAAGGAUGUUGACGUAAUGGCUUUAAACGACCCGUCUUGAAACACGGACCAAGGAGUCUAACAUAUAUGCGAGUGUU
rnacentral:rRNA from 1 species